rnacentral:rRNA from 1 species
AUUGAACGCUGGCGGCAUGCUUUACACAUGCAAGUCGAACGGUAACAGGGUGCUUGCACCGCCGACGAGUGGCGAACGGGUGAGUAAUGCGUCGGAACGUGCCGAGUAGUGGGGGAUAACGCAGCGAAAGUUGUGCUAAUACCGCAUACGUACUGAGGUAGAAAGUGGGGGACCUUCGGGCCUCACGCUAUUCGAGCAGCCGACGUCUGAUUAGCUAGUAGGUGAGGUAAAGGCUAACCUAGGCGACGACCAGUAGCGGGUCUGAGAGGAUGAUCCGCCACACUGGGACUGAGACACGGCCCAGACUCCUACGGGAGGCAGCAGUGGGGAAUUUUGGACAAUGGGCGAAAGCCUGAUCCAGCCAUGCCGCGUGUCUGAAGAAGGCCUUCGGGUUGUAAAGGACUUUUGUCAGGGAGGAAAUCCCUAGUGCUAAUAACACUGGGGGAUGACAGUACCUGAAGAAUAAGCACCGGCUAACUACGUGCCAGCCGCCGCCGUAA